CUUUAUGGUCGCUACGUGCGGGUGACCUUUGGGUCAGCCGGGUUUUCGCCUGGUAAUACCCCGGUCUUGCAGACCUGCACGUAGCUGCCGCCCUU
rnacentral:antisense_RNA from 1 species